rnacentral:rRNA from 1 species
GGCGAUCAGAUACCGCCCUAGUUCUGACCGUAAACGAUGCCAACUAGCGAUCCGCCAGUCGACUCAUCGCUCUGGUGGGGAGCUUCCCGGAAACGAAAGUCUUCCGGUUCCGGGGGAAGUAUGGUUGCAAAGCUGAAACUUAAAGGAAUUGACGGAAGGGCACCACCAGGAGUGGAGCCUGCGGCUUAAUUUGACUCAACACGGGGAAACUCACCCGGCCCUGACACCGUAAGGAUUGACAGAUUGAUAGCUUUUUCAUGAUUCGGUGGAUGGUGGUGCAUGGCCGUUCUUAGUUCGUGGAGCGAUUUGUCUGGUUUAUUCCGAUAACGAGCGAGACUCUGGCCUACUAAAUAGUUGACGCAUUGCCACUGUGCGCACAACUUCUUAGAGGGAUUUUCGGUGUUUUCAACCGCACGAAAUUGAGCAAUAACAGGUCUGUGAUGCCCUUAGAUGUCCGGGGCUGCACGCGCGCUACACUGGCAAAAUCAGCGUGCUUGUCCUCCCCCGAAAGGGGUUGGUAAACCGAUGAAAAUUUGCCGUGAUUGGGAUCGGACAUUGCAAUUACUGUCCGUGAAUGAGGAAUCCCUUGUAAGGGCGAGUCAUCAACUCGUCCCGAAUACGUCCCUGCCCUUUGUA